CGACCUCAGCUCAGGUGAGAAAACCUGCUGAGUUUAAGCAUAUAAUUAAGUGGAGGAAAAGAAACUUACAAGGAUUACCCUAGUAGCAACGAGCAAAUCGGGAAGAGCCCAUAAUGAAUAUCGGAUGGCAGCGUCUCUUAAAUUGUAGUUUGUAGAAGCGUCCUCAGUAGUGGACCUAGGCCAAGUCCCUUAGAAGGGAGCGCCUGAGAGGGUGACAACCCCAUCGGGCUGGGACCCUGCUACAUCGCGAGGCGUUGUUGGCGAGUUUUGUUGUUUGGGAAUGUAGCCCUAAUUGGGUGGUAAAUUCCAUCCAAGGCUGAAUACAUGUGAGACACUGAAAGCAAACAAGUAUCGUGAGGGAAAGGUGAAAAGGAAUUUGAAAAGAGAGUUAGAGAGUGCUUGAAAUUUCUGGGAGGAAAGUGGAUAGAGGUUGUCGAUGCGUCUCGGUCCGCCCCUCGACUUGAGGUGCAAACCAACAAGGGCUGUUGCAUUGUCACAAGCAUGGGUGGAUUAUUGCCUGUCAGUUUGUCGCUACGGUGGUCGAAGAACAAAGCGUGUGCCCUUGUGGUGGUCCAUGUGUACUUGUGCGCUCAUGGUGUUGGUUGACAGGCUUUCCAUUCGACCUAUCUUAAAACACUGACCAAGGAGUCUAACAUGUGUGCACGUUGGCAGGUUUGAAAACCUGCGAGGCAUAAGGAAGUUGACAAGUGAGAUCCCCUCCCUGAGGGGGGUGCAUCAUCGACCAACCUUGAGCUUAUGGGAAGGGUUCGAGUGCCAGCACACCUGUUGGGACUCGAAAGAUGGUGAGCUAUGCCUUAGGUAUAGGGGAAAAAUUCUAAUCAAACCAUCUAGUAGCUGGUUUCCUCCGAAGUUUCCCUCAGGAUAGUUGGAGCUCACGCAUGAGUUUUAUCAGGUAAAUCAAAUGAUUAGAGGCAUUGGGGGCGUAACGCCCUCGACCUAUUCUCAAAAUUUAAAUAGGUAAGAGGGUGCAUCUUCUCCAUUGAGUUGUGUCGUGGAAUCAAGAGCUCCAAGUGGGCCAUUUUUGGUAUGCAGAACCGGUGAUGUAGGAUGAACCAAAAAUUGAGUUACGGUGAUAAAUUGUGUGCUAACCUAGAUCCCACAAAGGGUGUUGGUUGAUUAAGACAACAAGAUGGUGGUCAUGGAAGUCGAAAUCCACUAAGGAGUGUGUAACAACUCACCUGCUGAAUCAAUUAGCCCUGAAGAUGGAUGGUGUUGAAGCGCACAACCUAUACUUUACCGUCGAAGCAAUUGCUUGGCUUCGAUGAGUAGGAGGACACGGGGGUCUUUGAGAAACCUUGGGUAUGAGCUUGGGUGGAUCGGCCCCCGGUGCAGAUCUUGGUGGUAGUAGCAAAUAUUCAAAUGAGAACUUUGAAGACUGAAGUGGGGAAAGGUUCCAUGUGAACAACACUUGGACAUGGGUUAGUCAAUCCUAAGAAAUGGGGAAGCCUUGUAUCAAGGGUGCACUCUGCACAAUCAUUGAAAGGGGAUCGGGUUAAUAUUCCCGAACCAGGACAUAGCAGCGAGCGACAACGUUAGGAAAUCUAGAGACGUCAUUGGGGGCCCUGGGAAGAGUUAUCUUUUCUUUUUAAUAGCUUGCCCACCUUAGAUUCGGUUCACCUAGAGAUAGGGUCUAGCAUCUGGAAGAGCACCGCACGCCUUGUGGUGUCUAGUGUGCCCUUGAUAGCCCUUGAAAAUCUGAAGGAAUGAGUACCAUUCAUGCCUGAUCGUACUCGUAACCACAUCAAGUCUCCAAGGUGAACAAACUUUAGUCAAUAGAAAAAUGUAGGUAAGGGAAGUUGGCAAAAUGGAUCUGUAACUUCGGGAAAAGGAUUGGCUCUUAGGGUUGGGCCUAGGGGUCUGCGUCCUCAACUCAUGGGCUGUUAGCAGUCUGCCCGAGCUACUCUCGCAGCAAGGAGAGCAGUUGCAUGUCGAUUAGGCUAUGGGCGUAGAAUGCCCUUGCCAGGGGCUUUUCCCUAGGCGUCAAACAGUUGACUCAGAACUAGUACAGACAAGGGGAAUCUAACUGUUUAAUUAAAACAAAGCAUUACGAUGGUCCCUACAGAUGCUGGCGCAAUGUGACUUCUGCCGAGUGCUCUAAAUGUCAAAGUGAAGAAAUUCAACCAAGCAAGGGUAAACGGUGGGAGUAACUAUGACUCUCUUAAGGUAUCCAAAUGCCUCGUCAUCUAAUUUGUGAUGCACAUGAAUGGAUUAAUGAGAUUCCCACUGUCCCUAUCUACUAUCUAGCGAAUCAAUAGCCAAGGGAAUGAGCUUGGUAGAAUCAGUGGGGAAAGAAGACCUUGUUGAGCUUAACUCUAGUCUGACUUUGUGAAAUGACUUGAGAGGUGUAGAAUAAGUGGGAGCCGUUUUUGGCGCAAGUGAAAUACCAAUACUUUUAAUGUUAUUUUAUUUAUUCUAUGUGGUGAGACAGGGAACUACUGAUGUUUUUGGCCUUAAGGAACAUUUUGGUGGGUCGAUCCAAGCAGAGGACAUUUUCAGGUGGGCAGUUUGGCUGGGGUGGCACAUCUGUUAAAAGAUAACGCAGGUGUCCUACGAUGAACUCAACGAGAACAAAAAUCUCAUGUGGAACAAAAGGGUAAAAGCUCAUUUGAUUUUGAUUUUCAGUACGAAUACAAACCAUGAAAGUGUGGCCUAUUGAUUCUUUAGAUUUUUGGAAUUUGAAGCUAGAGGUGUCAAAAAGGUUACCAUAGGGAUAACUGGCUUGUGGCAGCCACGCAUUCAUAGCAAAUUUGCUUUUUGAUCCUUCGAUGUCGGCUCUUCCUAUCAUUGUGAAGCAGAAUUUACCAAGUGUUGGAUUUUUCACCCACCAAUAGGGAACAUGAGCUGGGUUUAGACAAUCAUGAGACAGGUUAUUUUUAUCCCACUGAUGAACUACACCGCAAUAGUAAUUCAACUUAGUAUGAGAGUAACCAUUGAUUCAAACAAUUGGUCAUCGCGCUUGGUUGAAAAGCCAGUAGCGUGAAGCUAUUAUGUGUUAGAUUAUGAUUGAAUGCCUCUAAGUCAGAAUCCAUGCUAGAAGCGAUGCAUGUCACUCUUAGACUAUAUCUUGAUGCACAGUAGGGGUGUUGCUUUGUUGCCCGAGGGGCCUGUGUCAUUUGCAAACCGUGACCAUCAAGCAUCUCGAUUGAGGAAG
rnacentral:rRNA from 1 species